rnacentral:rRNA from 1 species
UACGAAGGGGACUAGCGUUGUUCGGAAUUACUGGGCGUAAAGCGCACGUAGGCGGAUUUGUAAGUCAGGGGUGAAAUCCCGGGGCUCAACCUCGGAACUGCCUUUGAUACUGCAAAUCUCGAGUCCGAUAGAGGUGGGUGGAAUUCCUAGUGUAGAGGUGAAAUUCGUAGAUAUUAGGAAGAACACCGGUGGCGAAGGCGGCCCACUGGACCG